rnacentral:ribozyme from 1 species
UGGUUUGAAGGAAACUCCGUGCGAGACUGCGGGAUUUGCGAUGAAUGUGGUGUUUGUGGAGGAUAGUGCGAAGAUGUGCAGGUAUGUGAUGAAGUUGUAC